rnacentral:rRNA from 1 species
AGGCGAUGAUGCAUAGCCGAGUUGAGAGACUGAUCGGCCACAAUGGGACUGAGACACGGCCCAUACUCCUACGGGAGGCAGCAGUAGGGAAUCUUCCACAAUGGGCGCAAGCCUGAUGGAGCAACACCGCGUGAGUGAAGAAGGGUUUCGGCUCGUAAAGCUCUGUUGUUAAAGAAGAACACGUAUGAGAGUAACUGUUCAUACGUUGACGGUAUUUAACCAGAAAGUCACGGCUAACUACGUGCCAGCAGCCGCGGUAAUACGUAGGUGGCAAGCGUUAUCCGGAUUUAUUGGGCGUAAAGAGAGUGCAGGCGGUUUUCUAAGUCUGAUGUGAAAGCCUUCGGCUUAACCGGAGAAGUGCAUCGGAAACUGGAUAACUUGAGUGCAGAAGAGGGUAGUGGAACUCCAUGUGUAGCGGUGGAAUGCGUAGAUAUAUGGAAGAACACCAGUGGCGAAGGCGGCUACCUGGUCUGCAACUGACGCUGAGACUCGAAAGCAUGGGUAGCGAACAGGAUUAGAUACCCUGGUAGUCCAUGCCGUAAACGAUGAGUGCUAGGUGUUGGAGGGUUUCCGCCCUUCAGUGCCGGAGCUAACGCAUUAAGCACUCCGCCUGGGGAGUACGACCGCAAGGUUGAAACUCAAAGGAAUUGACGGGGGCCCGCACAAGCGGUGGAGCAUGUGGUUUAAUUCGAAGCUACGCGAAGAACCUUACCAGGUCUUGACAUCUUGCGCCAACCCUAGAGAUAGGGCGUUUCCUUCGGGAACGCAAUGACAGG